CAUGUAACAAAAAUAUUAUUAUUUAGUGAUUCCAUAAUUCAAGUUCUUCAACAGAAUUAAAAUUUUGAAAGUUCCAUAUUCACAUAUUAAAUUAGUUACUUCACCAACUGUCUCAUAUAUUAUUCUUAUCUACCUGUAAAAAUAUCUCAAGUCAAUCAAAUCGUAUUAGCAAUAAUUGUCUCUCAGUCAGAGAAAGCUGCUUGCUCUCAUCCUUGCUCAUGGCUAACCCUUUCAGCGCCAGAAUCUGAAUCAUCGUCCUGCAAUCCAAAUUGCAGUGCAAGCAUUUUAGGUUUAAUGGACGUGAAGGCAGCCACCUCGACCAUGGCAUUAGAAUGAGAAUGAGACAAGUCGGAAAAUUUUCGUAUAUGCAAGGGAAAGAAGUGCACGUAGUUGACUAGGAAAACAAGGGAUGCGGCAGGUAAACGGGGAUAAGCAGUAGCAGGAGGACCGCAGUGCCGCACAAAAAGGACGAAAAGGAAAGGCGCCACCCACAGACGUGACCAUGUUCCUUGCUCUCGCAGUAGCUCCGGAGUCCGGCACACUUGCACCCCGUUUUGCACGAAAUGGAAAAGCAAAAGUGUUGUUGGCGCUUCUUUCGCCUUUGUGCUGUGUCCUGUGCUGUGUGUUCCGUCUCCCUGUGUCCCUUGUCCUGUGUCCUUCGACAUUGUCAUCGUGAGUCGACGCAGUCCCACUCCUCCGAGUCGCACUCGUAUCUUGGCAAUAAAAUAAUGACUCAACUGAA